rnacentral:rRNA from 1 species
GAAAGCCUGACGGAGCAAUGCCGCGUGAGUGAUGAAGGUUUUCGGAUCGUAAAGCUCUGUUGCCAGGGAAGAACGCUUGAGAGAGUAACUGCUCUCAAGGUGACGGUACUGAGAAGAAAGCCCCGGCUAACUACGUGCCAGCAGCCGCGGUAAUACGUAGGGGGCAAGCGUUGUCCGGAAUUAUUGGGCGUAAAGCGCGCGCAGGCGGUCAUUUAAGUCUGGUGUUUAAUCCCGGGGCUCAACCCCGGAUCGCACUGGAAACUGGGUGACUUGAGUGCAGAAGAGGAGAGUGGAAUUCCACGUGUAGCGGUGAAAUGCGUAGAUAUGUGGAGGAACACCAGUGGCGAAGGCGACUCUCUGGGCUGUAACUGACGCUGAGGCGCGAAAGCGUGGGGAGCAAACAGGAUUAGAUACCCUGGUAGUCCACGCCGUAAACGAUGAGUGCUAGGUGUUAGGGGUUUCGAUACCCUUGGUGCCGAAGUUAACACAUUAAGCACUCCGCCUGGGGAGUACGGUCGCAAGACUGAAACUCAAAGGAAUUGACGGGGACCCGCACAAGCAGUGGAGUAUGUGGUUUAAUUCGAAGCAACGCGAAGAACCUUACCAGGUCUUGACAUCCCUCUGACCGGUACAGAGAUGUACCUUUCCUUCGGGACAGAGGAGACAGGUGGUGCAUGGUUGUCGUCAGCUCGUGUCGUGAGAUGUUGGGUUAAGUCCCGCAACGAGCGCAACCCUUGAUCUUAGUUGCCAGCAUUUCGGAUGGGCACUCUAAGGUGACUGCCGGUGACAAACCGGAGGAAGGUGGGGAUGACGUCAAAUCAUCAUGCCCCUUAUGACCUGGGCUACACACGUACUACAAUGGCCGGUACACCGGGCUGCGAAGCCGCGAGGUGGAGCUAAUCCUAAAAAGCCGGUCUCAGUUCGGAUUGCAGGCUGCAACUCGCCUGCAUGAAGUCGGAA